rnacentral:rRNA from 1 species
GAUGAACGCUGGCGGCGUGCCUAAUACAUGCAAGUCGAGCGAACAGACGAGGAGCUUGCUCCUCUGACGUUAGCGGCGGACGGGUGAGUAACACGUGGAUAACCUACCUAUAAGACUGGGAUACCUUCGGGAAACCGGAGCUAAUACCGGAUAAUAUAUUGAACCGCAUGGUUCAAUAGUGAAAGACGGUUUUGCUGUCACUUAUAGAUGGAUCCGCGCCGCAUUAGCUAGUUGGUAAGGUAACGGCUUACCAAGGCAACGAUGCGUAGCCGACCUGAGAGGGUGAUCGGCCACACUGGAACUGAGACACGGUCCAGACUCCUACGGGAGGCAGCAGUAGGGAAUCUUCCGCAAUGGGCGAAAGCUUGACGGAGCAACGCCGCGUGAGUGAUGAAGGUCUUCGGAUCGUAAAGCUCUGUUAUUAGGGAAGAACAAAUGUGUAAGUAACUAUGCACGUCUUGACGGUACCUAAUCAGAAAGCCACGGCUAACUACGUG